UACGUAGGGCGCAAGCGUUGUCCGGAAUUAUUGGGCGUAAAGAGCUCGUAGGCGGCUUGUCACGUCGAUUGUGAAAGCCCGAGGCUUAACCUCGGGUCUGCAGUCGAUACGGGCUAGCUAGAGUGUGGUAGGGGAGAUCGGAAUUCCUGGUGUAGCGGUGAAAUGCGCAGAUAUCAGGAGGAACACCGGUGGCGAAGGCGGAUCUCUGGGCCAUUACUGAUGCUGAGGCGCGAAAGCGUGGGGAGCAAACGGG
rnacentral:rRNA from 1 species